rnacentral:misc_RNA from 1 species
UUAAGUUCAGCGGGUAGUCCUACUUGAUUUGAGGUCAAGUUGUCAGAGAGUGUCCUAAGACAGUUAGAAGCCCAGAGCUCCCAAUCGGCCACCCUCUUUUGAGGCACUGGCAAAGACACUUAUCAUGCUGUACUAUGUCCAACCAGGAGGUGCACUACUGCAUUUGAGGUGAGCCACUGUGAAGCAGCAACACCCAAGUC